AUUGAACGCUGGCGGCAGGCUUAACACAUGCAAGUCGAGCGGGGUGAUGGUGCUUGCACUAUCACUUAGCGGCGGACGGGUGAGUAAUGCUUAGGAAUCUGCCUAUUAGUGGGGGACAACAUUUCGAAAGGAAUGCUAAUACCGCAUACGUCCUACGGGAGAAAGCAGGGGAUCUUCGGACCCUGCGCUAAUAGAUGAGCCUAAGUCGGAUUAGCUAGUUGGUGGGGUAAAGGCCUACCAAGGCGACGAUCUGUAGCGGGUCUGAGGGGAUGAUCCGCCACACUGGGACUGAGACACGGCCCAGACCCCUACGGGAGGCAGCAGUGGGGAAUAUUGGACAAUGGGCGCAAGCCUGAUCCAGCCAUGCCGCGUGUGUGAAGAAGGCCUUAUGGUUGUAAAGCACUUUAAGCGAGGAGGAGGCUACUUUAGUUAAUACCUAGAGAUAGUGGACGUUACUCGCAGAAUAAGCACCGGCUAACUCUGUGCCAGCAGCCGCGGUAAUACAGAGGGUGCAAGCGUUAAUCGGAUUUACUGGGCGUAAAGCGCGCGUAGGCGGCUAAUUAAGUCAAAUGUGAAAUCCCCGAGCUUAACUUGGGAAUUGCAUUCGAUACUGGUUAGCUAGAGUGUGGGAGAGGAUGGUAGAAUUCCAGGUGUAGCGGUGAAAUGCGUAGAGAUCUGGAGGAAUACCGAUGGCGAAGGCAGCCAUCUGGCCUAACACUGACGCUGAGGUGCGAAAGCAUGGGGAGCAAACAGGAUUAGAUACCCUGGUAGUCCAUGCCGUAAACGAUGUCUACUAGUCGUUGGGGCCUUUGAGGCUUUAGUGGCGCAGCUAACGCGAUAAGUAGACCGCCUGGGGAGUACGGUCGCAAGACUAAAACUCAAAUGAAUUGACGGGGCCCGCACAAGCGGUGGAGCAUGUGGUUUAAUUCGAUGCAACGCGAAGAACCUUACCUGGCCUUGACAUAGUAAGAACUUUCCAGAGAUGGAUUGGUGCCUUCGGGAACUUACAUACAGGUGCUGCAUGGCUGUCGUCAGCUCGUGUCGUGAGACGUUGGGUUAAGUCCCGCAACGAGCGCAACCCUUUUCCUUAUUUGCCAGCGAGUAAUGUCGGGAACUUUAAGGAUACUGCCAGUGACAAACUGGAGGAAGGCGGGGACGACGUCAAGUCAUCAUGGCCCUUACGGCCAGGGCUACACACGUGCUACAAUGGUCGGUACAAAGGGUUGCUACCUAGCGAUAGGAUGCUAAUCUCAAAAAGCCGAUCGUAGUCCGGAUUGGAGUCUGCAACUCGACUCCAUGAAGUCGGAAUCGCUAGUAAUCGCGGAUCAGAAUGCCGCGGUGAAUACGUUCCCGGGCCU
rnacentral:rRNA from 1 species